CACUGCCAAUUCGCAACAAUGCUUGAUUUAAUGGGCAUUCCUUUAGAAAAUUACAUUAUAAAUGCCAGCAUCUACAGGGUUCAUAAUGCAUGAUGGAGGAGGGUCAUCUACUGACCGUAACUACUGAAAAAGCUUUCGGGACUGAGUGCUGAUGUCAAUGAAGGUGAUGCCAAAGUUUGGAGUUGAACUUCGGAGUGGAUCUGGGGCGCAGAUGAAGGAAGCUGAUGCUCUUUUGUAUGAAGAAACGCAUGUUCCUGUCUAACAGCGAGAGAGAGAGAUGGAGAGGCCCUGUCACAAGCAGAUGAGUGUUCAUUACUUUAUCCUUGACGGGGGGUUUGGGCAGAGGGAAAGAGAUUUCACGCUAAUUUGUGGGAUGACACCUUAGCCAUUUACAAUAUAUAUAUAUAUAUAUAUAUAUAAAACAAACAGACCAUAAAACCUUUGAUAACACUUUGGCCUUUUUUAAUCACACCUACAAACACAAUUUUUAGCAUAACAGGUAACUUGUGAUUUAAUAUCUCCCUAUAUACCAUGAAAGAGAUCAAAAUUGGUGGAUGUUAAAACAAAAUUAAAAGGAUGAAUAGCAUGUCUGUCAUUAAUAUAAAGGAUAUUUCAAUCAUGCGUCAUGUACAAUAGAGUACAGCUGUCGAAAAAAAAAAAAAAUUAUGAUGAUCUGAUUUGAGCAAACAGUUUGUUUAAACGGCAUCACUUUACAAUAAGGUUUUACUUGUUAACAUUAGGUAACCACAUUAAUUAACAUAAACUAUUGAUAAACAAUACUUCUACAGCAUUUAUUAGUUAAUAUGUAAACUAACAUGAACAAUGAACAACUGUAUUUUUAUGAACUAACAUUUAAAAAGGUUAAUAAAUGCUCUAAAAUAUAUUGCUCAUCAUAGUUCAUGUUAACUAAUGUUAACAAAUGAGGCCUUAUUGUAAAAAUAAGAGUAAAAUCUACCAGAAUGCCUAAAAUAUAUGUAAACAUAUUGUACAGAAACUACUCAAAAUAAAGUCAUUUUAUUUAAAAAAUGUUUCUAGCAUUUGCUCAAGAAUGACAGCUGUUUAUUAGAACUGUAAUUGCUGAAUUAAGUUUCCAAAAAGCCCAAUCUCUGCAUAUAAGAUGGGGUCUGACAUAUAGGUUAAAAAAAACUUUCAAAAAGCAUUAAUAAUUGUAAACUGAGGCAUCCUUACCUUAAAGCAGCAUCCUUCUUUCCUUCGGCAAGCACGCUAGACUCGGGUCCCCUAACAUACAUGAGGUGUGAGUGAUGGGCGCUUUUUCGAGAAAACAGGAUUUAGUCAUCAGACAUGCAGCUUUUUCCUCAGACGCUUGUCAGAUGUAGGGGGCCGGCCGGUCUCUCUUUGAGACGCAUAAUUAGGAUGCAGGCUGAAGAAAGGACAGCCCAGCUUGAUAAGGGUUGGCAUGCAAAUGGAUAAGGAGACAAAGAAGCACAGAGAGAGAGAGAGAGAGGGAGAGCAAAACACUAUAUGUUGCACACACCACAACACUUUCUGCUUUAAGUGUCGGGUAUCAUUAUUGCGUCCACUGCUCAGGUUGGCUGAGGUAGUCGAAUACAUUGAGGUCCGCAGAUGAGGAAAUCGAGGAGAGAGAAAUCUGCGAUUGAUGCUCAGCAGUUCAAAGGCCUUCCCAAACCCUCUUAUCUUUCCCGCCACAGAGGCAGCUCAGAUAAAAGAGGAACACACAUCACACCAAGCGUUGGACGGAAACAUGGAUGUUGAAGAUGUACAUGUACACAACCAGCAGUGUUCAGUGCAUUAAAGAUGACAUCUCUUCUCUUCUCUGAUGACGUGUUUACCGGAUUGAGGGCGGGACAACCUGUCACUCACAUGACAUCACAGCAACAGCAAACCACAACCAUCAAAUCAAUUCCUGAUUGCCAAAAUUAAGUCCUGCCCUACAUUUUAUCUUGUUUGACAAGCCGUUUCGUUCAGAUAUAAGUCAGUAUAGGGAAGAAAAGCCAAAUUCCGUUUCAUGCUGACUUUAAGAUUGCAGUGAAGAGGGUUUUGGGAUUGAAAUAUGGUCAUUUUUGGUUCAUGCUUGUCAUUAAAUAAUUUAGCAAUGCUAGAGGGACAUGGUAUAAAAUGUGGUAAAAUACAGUGGGGCCUAAAAAAAAGGCAACAACUGAAAAUGCUUCUGUUUUGCAUUUUUCUAUUUUUUUUAUUUUUUUUUUUAAAUGAAAAAAAUAAUUACAAAAUAUGUUUAGCAUGUUUCUAAUAAAAUAUGUUUUUAUUUUUAAAUGUAAAAAAAUGUUUUGUUAUUUUUGGUUAAUGGUUGUCACUAAAUAAUUUAGCAAUGCUAGAGGGACACUGUAUAAAAUGUGGAAAAAUACCAUGGGGCCACUGAUCUAUAGUGGGGCCCAAAAGUUUACUACAAGACCACCAAUGAUAAUGCUUGUUUUUCUGUUUUUUAUUUAUUUAUUUUUUAAAUUAAAUGCUGCUGAGAAUUUCUCUUACCCAAGCAUUUUUUAAAUAUUUUUAAAAAUGUAAUUAUAUAUAUUAUACACACACACACAGGUUUGUUUUGCUAUCUUUGUGAUGACUCUCCAUAGACGUAAUGGUUUUUAUACUGUACAAACUGUAUAUUCUAUCCCCCUACAUUACCCCUACUCCUAAACCUACCCAUCACAGAAAACAUUGUACAUUUUUACAUUUUUAAUAAAACAUUGUUUAGUAGGCUAUGUUUUUAAAGCUAUUUUAAAUAUGAGGACUCAUGAAAUGUCCUCAUAUUUCAUGUUUACGUCGUAAUACCAGUGUAAUACCCAUGUCAUACAAAUUUGUGUCCUCAUAAAUCACAAAAUUGUGUGCACACCCACACACGCAUUACUGUGCAAAAGUCUUAUGCUUUGUUGUUUUAGCAAUGAUAUAAUGACCAUCCAUAUGUAUUUUUUGGUCUUUAUUACGAUAUAAGCAGAAAAUACAGGAAAUAUGUACACAAAUGUAAAAAAAAAUAAAUAAAUCAGAACAAAAUGGCUUCUUUAAGCAAAAAUCAGUAUUUAGUGUGACCUGCUGGACUUCUUCCAUUUUCUCAAAGAAGAAACUCUGAGAAACUUCUCAUCAUAUUUUAAAAGUUUUCUUGGUCUUCUAGUCAUUUUCCAUUCCAUUUAAUUUAAGAAAGCCGGUUCCUGCUAUUGCUCAAGUGUAAGGGAGGUCACUAAAUACUUGCCACUUUAGCCUAUAGAAGUAGUUUUUGUUUUUUUAAUACUGCAUAUAAAUGUCCUGUAUUUUCUGGUUAUAUUCUAAUAAGGAGACUGAGAAAUAAUUAUAUAUGGUCAUUAUACCAUUGCUAAACAACAUCUAUUGGUAGCCUAAGACUUUUGCACAGUACUGUAUGUGUGUCUGUGUGUGUGUGUGUGUGUAUAUAUAUAUUAGUCAAACCAAAAAUUAUCCAGACAUUUUUGAUAUAUUUUUUACUAGUGGGUGCAGGACACUAUAGUUCAUUUAUGUAAGUGGGGAUAACAAAAUAAAGUAAACGGUGACAUAUUAUACCCAAAAAUUCUUCAUACAGUGGACUACCAGUAAAAUUGAUAAAAACUUGGAACCAAAAAUUAUUCAUGACCAUGUUUUGCUUAAGUGUUAUCUGACAUAAUUAAGAUUAUUUUUUUUCUGACACAGUUUAACUCUGAGAUCUUGUCAGAAUUUAUUACCAUUUUUUUAAACUAUAGUGAAUAAACUGUAUUAAUGAAUGAAAUGUUCAAGGUGUCUGAAUAAAUUUUGGUUUAACUGUAAUAAUAUAUAUAUAUAUAUAUAUAUAAUAUAAAAUGGAUGUUUGUCACUAAAUAAUUUAGAAAUGCUGGAAGGUCAUAGUACAAAAUGUGUAAAAGUACAGUGGUCCCCAAAUGUCUACUAAAACCCAUUAAUGAAAAUAUUUUUGUCUUUUUCUAUUUUUUUUUUUAAAUUAAGAAUAUAAUUGCUGACUGAACAAAACCUGAUAAUGUUCUCCAGCAUGAUUUGACAUGUUCGUUACACAGAGCAUCUUGUGCUGUAAUGGAAGCAAAAACAUCUGAGGUAACAUUUUCAGUGUCACAGACUUGAUCAGUGACAUAAAAACUGUGCAAAAUUACUUAUAAAGUUCUUUAAAGGCCUCCAUCUAGAAAGAAUAAUGACUUUGCAUUUUGCCGUAGACAGAUGUGGACCGUCAUCAAUCAGUGAUGCUCUGAGACUCUGUAGAUAAGGGAACUCCGUGCUAUUUUAGGCCUGGUGCUCUCUAAUACAGCAGGGUCUCUCCCUCUAAUGGCUGGCCCGCCCCACACUUAUCAGAUUUUCAAAAUGUGAGAGACCACAAACAUCACAAUGAAAUUUAACAGUUUUGUUCCUAUAGUGUGUGGAGUGCCACGAUAUGACCAACACAGCACACAUCACACACUAACAGAUUCCAUUCACAAACAACCAGAGUCCCGACUGAACACUGUGAACACAGGAAAUCUUGCGGUGAUUUAAGAGUAGACGAACAUGGCAAACGGCGAGCAAGAAAAAAAAAAAAAAGCGAUUGUAGUGUUUGGACUGCUUUGUGGGGGAAAAAGUAAAAAGGUUUGGAUGAAGUCCCCCACACAACAGGAUUUCUGAUCAUAAAUAUUCAACAUGUUUGAUAUUUAUGAUUUGAGAUUGGUGCGACCACGUACAGUGUACAUUUUAGGACAUCCUCAGACCUCAGGAUCAUGCCUUAGACAAAACUGCAUCGCGCCUCAGACAUGUAUUGCCAAGUCUGGGGUUUUCCCGCGGGUCUGAAACCUUUUAGUCUGAGGCAUGAUGCCUUUUUGUCAUACGACUGAGGUCUGAAUAUGUCCUAAAAUGUAUACCGUAAUCCCAGUGUUCUUCCAAGCAGAUUAUAUCACUCUUAACACACCUCACACCACAGGAAAAUCUGAUAAAAUAAUCUGUAGAACCAUCAAGAUAAUCGGGACUUUACCUAAGAUUGUCGGAAGGGGAGAAAUGGGCCCAAAAUCGACCCGAUUAUCUUGUAGUGUGUGGGUGCCUUUAGAUUCAUCAUGCUGCGCCGAGUAUCAGCUAUAUUAUUGAGUUUAAUCCUGUGACAAAACCACUCAUUCAGCAAAGAAUUUUGCACUUAAGAAGCCUGGUCUCUAAAACGAUCUUGAUAAAACGAUCACGACGAACCAGUGCUGCUAAUAAAGAUUAGCCAAAUAUAGUCACUGCCCUUGAGUGCAGGAAGGGGAUGUUUUUUAAUUAACACUCUCAGUGGGUCACAACUAAUAAUGUGCAAAUAGGUUUAAAAAUAAAACGACAUUUUUACGUGAGUAAUAUCUUCGCUUUAAAACACCCCUGUUCAGAGAUUUUUAGGUUGAUUAAACACAGCUAUUGUUUCACAAUUGUAUUUUAGGUCUUCAUAUGUUGUCAUUAUGAUUGUUUUACAGGCAGUUAUGUCGAAGUUAUGAAAAGGACACAUUCAUUAAAACACUGUGUGGGAGAGAUGUUUAAUGGAAGGUGAGUAAACGGGAGAGGUUAUCGCAUGGCAUAAUCUGUAGAUGACCUACAGUUCUUUCACUCUGACGCUGCUUGAUGACACAUUAUGGCCAUAAAUUACCUUAAGUGCUAAAGAGUGUUCCUGCCGAGGAUAAAGGUGGCCACUGGGAAUUAUCCAGCCUGCAGGCUAAUUUCCUUUCCUUCCGGAACGUCCCGUAGGGGUCAGUGACCGUUUAUGUCCAUCGAUUG